rnacentral:rRNA from 1 species
AGUCGACGAUGAAUCUUCUAGCUUGCUAGAAGUGGAUUAGUGGCGCACGGGUGAGUAAUGCAUAGGUUAUGUGCCCUUUAGUCUGGGAUAGCCACUGGAAACGGUGAUUAAUACUGGAUACUCCCUACGGGGGAAAGUUUUUCGCUAAAGGAUCAGCCUAUGUCCUAUCAGCUUGUUGGUGAGGUAAUGGCUCACCAAGGCUAUGACGGGUAUCCGGCCUGAGAGGGUGAUCGGACACACUGGAACUGAGACACGGUCCAGACUCCUACGGGAGGCAGCAGUAGGGGAUAUUGCUCAAUGGGGGAAACCCUGAAGCAGCAACGCCGCGUGGAGGAUGAAGGUUUUAGGAUUGUAAACUCCUUUUGUUAGAGAAGAUUAUGACGGUAUCUAACGAAUAAGCACCGGCUAACUCCGUGCCAGCAGCCGCGGUAAUACGGAGGGUGCAAGCGUUACUCGGAAUCACUGGGCGUAAAGAGUGCGUAGGCGGGGUAAUAAGUCAGAUGUGAAAUCCUGUAGCUUAACUACAGAACUGCAUUUGAAACUGUUACUCUGGAGUGUGGGAGAGGUAGGUGGAAUUCUUGGUGUAGGGGUAAAAUCCGUAGAGAUCAAGAGGAAUACUCAUUGCGAAGGCGACCUGCUGGAACAUUACUGACGCUGAUGCACGAAAGCGUGGGGAGCAAACAGGAUUAGAUACCCUGGUAGUCCACGCCCUAAACGAUGGAUGCUAGUUGUUGCCUUGCUUGUCAGGGCAGUAAUGCAGCUAACGCAUUAAGCAUCCCGCCUGGGGAGUACGGUCGCAAGAUUAAAACUCAAAGGAAUAGACGGGGACCCGCACAAGCGGUGGAGCAUGUGGUUUAAUUCGAAGAUACGCGAAGAACCUUACCUAGGCUUGACAUUGAU